rnacentral:rRNA from 1 species
CACGUGGACAUCUAACCUAUGGAAGGGGAUAACCCCGGGAAACUGGGGAUAAUACCCUAUAGACUAUGGAUGCUGGAAUGCUUCGUAGUUGAAAGGUCCGCCGCCAUAGGAUGGGUCUGCGGCCGAUUAGGUUGUUGUUGGGGUAACGGCCCAACAAGCCUGUAAUCGGUACGGGUUGUGGGAGCAAGAGCCCGGAGAUGGAUUCUGAGACACGAAUCCAGGCCCUACGGGGCGCAGCAGGCGCGAAAACUUUACAAUGCGGGAAACCGUGAUAGGGGAACUCCGAGUGCCCGUAAAAUCGGGCUGUCCACCAGUUUAAACAACUGGUGAAGAAAGGGCCGGGCAAGACCGGUGCCAGCCGCCGCGGUAAUACCGGCGGCUCGAGUGGUGGCCACUAUUACUGGGCUUAAAGCGUUCGUAGCUGGUUUGUUAAGUCUCUGGGGAAAUCUUCCGGCUUAACCGGAAGGCGUCUCAGGGAUACUGGCAGACUAGGGACCGGGAGAGGUGAGGGGUACUCCAGGG